GGGGGUAUAUACUGCUUCAGGACGUCCCAUGCACCCUGUAGGAGGGCGUCCUGAGGAGGCAGGAGGAUGCCUCAGACAAAUGACGCCCAGGACGUGCUCAGCGAAGGUGGGUUUCCACGCCUCCCCGCAAUGGGCAGGCAGAGACAAGACGCUGUCCCAUCUCCACCUGGCUUUUGAAUGAGGGUAACAGAAUUCGGUCUGGAUGCCACCGAAUCAAGGGAGAAACAAUGGAUACCUCUUGUGUGUACCCGUUUGCCUGUACAGAUGCCAGCCACCGCCUGGGGUCAAUGCUCACGGCAUAACUUGCCCCGCAGGGGAGUGAACAGAAAUGAGGUUGGAGGGGGUUCAGCCCCGGGCAUGGACUCUAAACAUCCCAGUUGGAAGCUGGGGCUGUGACCCUGUCUAGCCAUGUUUCCUCCACGUCUUUGAAAUGGAGUGAGGACCUGACCAACCUCAUGGGGGUACCCAGACCGUGCUGAACAUCAUGACCCCUGAAUUGCCUUGUUCCUUUUGUCUUCACAUAGAAAGUCAUUGACGCUGAAGUAGGAUUGAGACCGUUGGGUUGUUUCAGCUGUGUGCAUCUGGCUUUCUGCAUUUGCAAAAAAAAAAAGGAAUGCAUUUGGGGGACAUACUUCUAAACUUCAUUCACUGUUUAUCUGACAUUCGAAUUCAACUAGGCAUCAUGGGUUUCCAUUUGCUAAGCCUGGCAACCCCUUCAGGAGAAGAAAUUCACCGCAUGUUCAUUUGUAUGUAUCAAACUGAACCACGGGGCCCUGGGUCUCCAUUUCCAGGCAGCGUCUGAGUGUUUUCUGGGAGUUCUCAGGAAGACUGCGGUGCAUCUGCCGCCAGGCCAAGUCUCCACAUGAAACCAGAGCAAUUCAAUCACUUCUUCCCAGUCGGGAUGUUCGCACCGGCUAGACAAAAUAUCGAGAUGUUUGGCAGGAUUGCUUGGUAGCUUCUGAGUUCGCUCUGUGCCGGGACAGUAUCUGCAAACUCGGGUUCUCUGAUCUCGGCUGACCCUGCGUCCCCUCUUCCCUCCUUUUCCAGCGGGACCCUGGGACACGCUACUAGAACAUUCAAGGAUUCAGCUGAAGUCAGGACGUGCUUUGCAUUUCGUUCAUUUUUUGGCUCACGGCACGCACGUAUGCACAGUUUUUUACUCCAGUCUGCUGAUAAAGCUCAGACCUCUGCAGGCUCCUUUUGCCUCAUUUCUGUUGUGCAGGAAACCCAGCAAGAAGAGUCAAGAUUUUUUUUGUUCUCCCCCACCCGGAGCACAAUGAACUGACAUAAAUCCACUUCGUGUAACACUCUGACCCCGUUAAGAAGACGGAUAGAGAACAGGGACUUCAAACAGCAUGGGAAGCCCCUCAUGGCUGAGAGCUUCUUCUGGGAAAAGGAUUCAUUCGUCAUUCACUUAUUCAUUCAUUCAUUCAUUCAACUGGCUUUAUGGGUCCCUCUGCCACCUAGCGGAGAGUUGGGGGGACAAAGCUGAUAGAAACACCACCUCUCCAGUCACUUGGCCUGGGUUCUGUUCUUGGUUCUGUGGCCCAUGAGGUCGGUAGGCUUGAGAAUUUGCUCUUUUGCGUACCUCCAUUUCUGUCUUCUCUAAGACAGGAUUAAUCAUAGCGUUGACCUGCAGAGAGUCGUUGUGAGGGUGACACUCGUGUAACAGCUUGAGAACCAUGGCUGAUAUUCAGUAAGCUGUUAAUGUUAGCUGUCACACUGGACGCAUAGCUGUGGAGAUAAUUUGAUCUCAGAACAGGCAGGCUCCUGUCCCCAGAAGUAAAAUUCAGAGUUAUAGUUUGACAAAACCGAUUCCAAGUCAUGGCAGAGGAAGCCUGUCCCGAGUCUCAAAAUGACCCAUGAUCUUGAUCCUCUUGGCUAACAGUUGGUCUAGCAAUGGCCCUGAGCCAGUGCUCUGCCUAAUGAAAUACAACUGGAUACCUUCUUCUUGGACCUUCGGAGGAUCUUUUGCUUUCCUGGUUAGGAGAGAAACUGUUGGCCUGGAACACAGUUACGAUGGUUGGAGGUGCCUCUCCACAUGCCUCUCCACAUGACCCUGAGGUCACCAAAGGUCAAGAUGCUAAGGUUGAUAAGAAACAAAGAUAGAAAGAACCCAGGUUAUAGUCAAAUAACUCCCCAGGUCACCUACCGCCAGACAUCCUGUUACAUGAAGAAAAUUAACAUCUAUUUCUCAAACUGCCAUGAUCCCUUUUCUAUCACUCACAGCUAAGUAGAUUUUUCAUUGAUGGGGCCAAAGAAGCAAAAACGUAGUCUCUUUCUUCACAGAAUCCUAGCUAGAUGAAGGAAAAAACACAGUGUAUCCCAGUACAAUAAAAUUCCCUAGCAGAAUAACCAAAGUGCUCAGUGUACAUGGAAAAGGAACAUUUAGUGGGUGAUGGGGUAUCUCACUGGAUUGUAAAGACAGAGCUCUGCCCCCUCUGAAGUAGACUCUUGACCCCAACGCACAGACCUGCCGUCCAUCACCCAGUUCUCAACCAGAACACAUUCCAUAGAAAGGAGAGUUCCCCACCUUAAUGACCGAUGACAGCAACAUGAUCUGUGUUCCCAGGGUCAGUGCUGAAAUGGUUGGUGUCCCCCAGCUCCCAGGCUGUUGAUUCUCACUGUGUGGCUCAGUCUGCUGCUUUGCUCUUUUUCCACUUACGCUGAAAACCUGCCUUAGUGGCUGACCCUCUGUGACCUAAUAAGAAAUCUAUAUUUGGACUCUGCUCCUUGGACACAGAGCUCCUAAAAC
ensembl:lincRNA